AGAAUUUCACUGGAGGUUGACGACGCAUGUGGUGGCAAAGACAGCUUGAAGAGUGACAGGAAGCCACAGGUCGGAUUUGGACCCUGGGCCACCGUGGCAAGGACUAAACCUUUGUACAUGGGGCGGAUGCUCUACUGACUGAGCUAAACAACACCCCAGGCAUAUAAGAGAAACUUCUCAGAGGCAGCGGAGUCCAUGUCCUCCUCAGCAGAAGAGGAAGAUGAGCAGGAAGAGGCAGCCACAACAGUCCCCCCCCACCAGAGGAUCAGAAGGUCCAUCAGCAGAUGUGCCCGCAGAAGGCAGACGUGAGGACAGGUCAGGCAGGUCAGGAUGCAGACAGUGAAAGUCAGAAAUGAGCUGAGGGUCCACAAUGAACCGAGCCGGCACACAGGAACGCUCCUCUGGACCGUACCCCUCCCAUUCCACAAGAUACUGCAUCCCACAUCCACGGCGGCGAGAGCAAAGCAGGCGUCUGAUAGCAUACAGGACCGCUAUCAACGAGCUGAGGAGGCGGUGGAGGUGGCAUGUAGAGCUGUAGCGAUUUUCAAUCCCUUUGCCUGACAUACAUAUGCAGUUUUUCAACAAAAUAUGUGAAAAACAAUAGAAUAAUGCCCUUUCAAUACAAAAGAGUCUCAUGCAUUUUUACCUCAUUUUCCUCAGGCAUGCCACUUAGCAAAGCAAAGACCCUCCAGAAAG